AGGGAAACAGCUCAGUGGUAGAGCACAUGCUUUGCAUGCGUGAGGUCCUGGGUUCAGUCCCCAGUACCGCCA
rnacentral:tRNA from 1 species